GACGAACGCUGGCGGCGUGCUUAACACAUGCAAGUCGAGCGGUAAGGCCCUUUCGGGGGUACACGAGCGGCGAACGGGUGAGUAACACGUGGGCGACCUACCCUCAGCUUCGGGAUAAGCCUGGGAAACUGGGUCUAAUACCGGAUAUGACCUUCCCUCGCAUGGGGGUUGGUGGAAAGUUUUUUCGGUCGUGGGGAGUGGCCCGCGGCCUAUCAGCUUGUUGGUGGGGUGAUGGCCUACCAAGGCGACGACGGGUAGCCGGCCU
rnacentral:rRNA from 1 species